rnacentral:lncRNA from 1 species
CGAACGGAAAAUAGGUAGAAAGAGUAUUUUUGGGAAAUUUGGAUAUGGAUCAGCGGAAGUAUACUGGAGGAUGACGUGGUCGAAUUUGGGAUUAAUUGGAGGAAAUUUGGUGCAUGAAAUGACGAGUUAAACAUGAAUUAGGGGCUUAAAAAGGAGGUUUAGGACUGAUUUGCGAGGAACCAGGGACCUAUUUGUAAAUAUUUUUGGGAGUGGGAGGGCAGAUCUGCGAAAAGGGGUAUGAGAGUGGUGGAAGGGCUUAUUUGUAAAUUGGGGAAAGGUGGGGGUUAGAUCAGAAUUUUGGGGAAUUUUCCCUUCUUCUUUCUUGGGCCGGUCAGGAGGUUGAGGAGGGGUGGAGGGUCGACGGCAGCCGGCCGGCCGGCCUCAUCGGCGGCGAGCCGUGGGGCGGAGGAGGUGGAGGAAGGGAAGAGGAUCCCAUUUUGGCUCCUUUACCGUGGAUGGCGGCACCGGGGAAGGGGCGUCUGGCAAGAGGUUGGGGGCGACGCACGGCACGGCGGCGGCGCACUGGCGGCGGCGGUGGCUGGGCGCAGGGAGGAGGGCGGCUGCUCGGUGGAGUGGUGGUGGGACGACGAGGCAAGGCCGGCGGCUUUUAUAGGCGGCGGGGAAGGCGCCGGCGGUAGGGCCUGGACGGAGCGUCGCGGAAGGUAGGCGCGGCCGGUGGUGCCGCGGCCGGCGCAAUGAUGGCGCGGGGGCCGGGGCGGAGCUGAGCAACCGCGGUGGAGGGGAGUGGUGCCGGCGAUGGGGCACGGGUGCUGGGGAGGAGGCGAUGCCAUGGCAGGGCCGGCGGGGCCGGACCGGGUGAGGCCGGCGUCGGGGCGCAGGCACGGGGCUCGGGGUGGCCGGGCGCCAAGGGCCGAGCUCCAGGGGCCGGAGAGGCCGGGGGGGCGGCGCUUGGAUUAAUGGUGCUAGGUGCCAGGAAGAUGGGAGGAUAAGGAAAGAGAAGAAGGAAGAAGGAAGAAGAAGGAGGAAGGAGAAGGAAAAAGAAAGAGAGGGAGAGAGAGAAAAAGGAAAAAUUAAGGAAAAAGGGGGCAAAAGAGAAAACGAAGGGGGGUGCCGGCAGCGAUUACGGCACGCGGUCGGGGCAUGCGCGGCGGUCUAUUGACCGGCACACGGCGAGAAUCACGGGAGAAGAUAAAAUGAUGGUGUCGGCUUGGGUGCCGGGACGGCGAAAUCGCCGGGAAGAGUUUGGAUUUUCGGGAGCUCAACGAUAAAAAGAUUUUGAAAGUGAUUUUUAAUGGGUGAUUUUAGGUGGUAAUUUUUUGCGGAUGUUACAUUACCACUACGACUACUACCACUAAUUCUUCUUCUUCUACUACUACCACUAAUUCUUAUUCUUCUUCUACUACUACUACUAAUUCUUCUUAUUCUUCUACCACUAAUUCUUCUUCUUCUUCCACCACUAAUUCUUCU